AACGAACGCUGGCGGCGUGCCUAACACAUGCAAGUCGAACGAGAAAGGGGCUUCGGCUCCGAGUAAAGUGGCGCACGGGUGAGUAACACGUGGGUAACCUGCCUCUAAGAUUGGGAUAACCUGUCGAAAGACGAGCUAAUACCGAAUAAGACCACGGCUUCCUCGGAAGCAGGGGUCAAAGGUAGCCUCUACUUGUAAGCUAUCACUUAGAGAUGGGCCUGCGUACCAUUAGCUAGNGGUGGGGUAACGGCCUACCAAGGCAAAGAUGGUUAGCUGGUCUGAGAGGAUGAUCAGCCACACUGGAACUGAGACACGGUCCAGACUCCUACGGGAGGCAGCAGUGGGGAAUAUUGCGCAAUGGGCGAAAGCCUGACGCAGCAACGCCGCG
rnacentral:rRNA from 1 species